GUAUUUUAAAAGUCUGAGUGGCAAAGAGGAGUGCAUAUUAAUUUUAGACAACUUUUACACUUUACUUUUAUGCUUUUACAUAUGUAAUUGAAUUCUGAAUUUCCCCUUCUAGCUUCAGCCUGAAAAGGGUAGCCCAGAAUACACCUACACACUUUUUGAUCCUUUCAGAAAAAAACCCAAAAACCUGAAGGAACCUUAUGAAACUUUAAAAACAAGUCUCUGUGCACAAAGAAUGCUUCAUUUCUAUGCAUCUUUUUAAUAGACACUGUCAUAGGCAGACCAGAAACCACAAAAACUCUGUUUUAACCUGAGAUCUGUCCCAAGGUGUGUCUUGACAAAAGAAGCAACACUGGUACUCACAAAGGCAUCACUGAGGCUGGAGUCUUAAUCUGUGUAAAUAUCUUGGACCUCUUUAAUUAUUUCCAUAUACAGGAGAAAGCUGCAUUUAUGAGGAAGCAAAAAGCAUUAUACCUGUAAUGAAAAAAAGGUUCCUUUAUUAAGAAUAACUACACCUAAAUUGCAAUUAUGUAACAAUUUUAUGAAGAAAUCACCUCCUGAUCAAAAUUGUUAUGUAACAAGCUCAAAAUCUGAGUAGAUUAGGAGCACAUAAUAGUGGAUUUUUUUAUUUGGUCAUCCAGGGAAAAAUGUAAUUUCAGUUGUGCCAAAAAAAAAUGUUGCUCAAUUUUUUGGCUUUUAUAACAUUGCUGACCCCUUCAAAUUAGGUCAGUUUUUAAACAAAAGCAUAAUUUAAAUGAGAAGUAUCAGUGUUUCAUUUCAGAAAUAUUCACUGUUUCCUUGUUGCAGUCCUCCAGAAUGAGACAUUCUGCAAGCUUCUGGAAGCUGUCCCAAAUUCACAAAUGUUUUCAGAUUCUGCAAAAGUGAGAAUGUCCACAGGAUUAACUAGUACCCACAAGGAACCCAUGAGGGAAGAAAACUCGAGUGAGGCACUAAUAAAUAACUUCACUUGUAAGGAUGUGAACCCUGCGUGAGAACUGAGAUGUUAGAACUCUGGCCAAAAAGGUGAUUUUGAUGCUCUAUUCAGUCAAUAAACAGAAGACAUUGUACCCUCCACUGUAUGUGUGGAGAAUAGGAUAAAUUAUGCACUGCACAAUCCUUUCCAGAAGGAAAAGUGCAAUAGUCCUUAAUUUUGGUGUAUUAUGAGCAGACCUCUAUGCCAUUAAAUAUUUAUAUGUCCCUGACCAGUAAUACACAAGUAUGUCUUUUAAAAUUUAAGGUCUCAGUGGUAGAAGACAGAGAGUUAUUUAUGGUUUUCUAGUUAUAUAUUACCGGAGGAACAAUUCUUGGGUUCUACACAAAAUAGAAUUCUAGUGGCAACCCAGUCAUCAUUCUCAUAUGUUGCAUCUUUCUACCUGUAUACGAAUGUAUUUGUCUAAAUAGAUGUGUUAGAUGCAACUUUUCUCACAAGUAACCUGAUUCUGCAAAGACUUAUGCAUAUGCUUUAUUUUAUAUGACUGGUAUGACCAAAACAGUGUCUCUGGCACAUGUAGUAUUCAGCCUGUGUGUUAAUCUUAACAGUACAGAAGCUCUGAUCUGACUUGAUUACAGUGAGUUGGGAAAUUACACCAAAAUCUCCUGUUAUAAUCAGAAAAUGUAGGUGAAUUAAAAUCACAUUUUCUCACAAGGGAGUAUACACCAUUUUCAAAGAAGCUGGAAUUUCUGUCGAUAGUGAGAAUCUCCAAGACUAAAAAUUUUCUCAAAUAUGUAAACCCCUAUUUGCCAAAUCAUGUUUAUUACAUUAAACAUAUUCACUAGACAAAGAAGACAGUGUGGGCCCUGAUAAAGAAAUACAUCACUAAAUUACUGAUGCAGGAGUAUGUAUUUGAGACUCAAAUGCAGACUCUAACUCAGGCAAGAGAGGAACCUCAGCCUGGGAGAUGAAAAAAUGUUUUACAUGAG
ensembl:lncRNA